CACGUAGUUAGCCGGGGCUUCUUAGUCAGGUACCGUCAUUUUCUUUCCUGCUGAUAGAGCUUUACGUACCGAAAUACUUCUUCACUCACGCGGCGUCGCUGGAUCGGGGUUUCCCCCAUUGUCCAAUAUUCCCCACUGCUGCCUCCCGUAGGAGUUUGGGCCGUGUCUCAGUCCCAAUGUGGCCGUCCACCCUCUCAGGCCGGCUACUGAUCGUCGCCUUGGUGGGCCGUUACCCCGCCAACCAGCUAAUCAGACGCGGGCCCAUCCCAUACCACCGGAGUUUUUCACACACCUUCAUGCGAAGCUGUGCGCUUAUGCGGUUUUAGCACCUGUUUCCAGGUGUUAUCCCCCGGUAUGGGGCAGGUUGCCCACGCGUUACUCACCCGUCCGCCACUAACUUACACUUCCGUUAGUCAAUGCAAGCAUCUCCUGCUUCUGUGUAAGUCCGUUCGACUUGCAUGUGUUAGGCACGCCGCCAGCGUUCAUCCUGAGCCAGGAUCAAACUCU
rnacentral:rRNA from 1 species